rnacentral:rRNA from 1 species
AUACGUAGGGGGCGAGCGUUGUCCGGAAUUACUGGGUGUAAAGGGUGCGUAGGCGGGACUGCAAGUCAGAUGUGAAAUGCCGGGGCUCAACCCCGGAGCUGCAUUUGAAACUGUGGUUCUUGAGUGAGGGAGAGGUAAGCGGGAUUCCUAGUGUAGCGGUGAAAUGCGUAGAUAUUAGGGGGAACAUCGGUGGCGAAGGCGGCUUACUGGGCCUUUACUGACGCUGAGGCACGAAAGCGUGGGGAGCAAACAGGAUUAGAUACCCUGGUAGUCCACGCGGUAAACGAUGAUGACUAGGUGUGGGGGGACUGAACCCUUCCGUGCCGCAGUUAACACAAUAAGUCAUCCACCUGGGGAGUACGGCCGCAAGGUUGAAACUCAAAUGAAUUGACGGGG